ACAUACGACCACAGACUGAGGAGAAUUGGGCAUCCCGUCCGCUCUGCCAUACNUCUGCCAUACACAAGCCUCAGAUCGGCAGAUUAGUAGUUGGGUGGGUGACCACCAGCGAAUACCUGCUGUCGUAUGUU
rnacentral:rRNA from 1 species